GCCGGGCAUGGUGGCGCAUGCCUGUAAUCCUAGCAGUUCAGGAGGCUGAGACAGGAGAAUUGAAAGUUCAAGGCCAGACUCAGCAAAAGCAAGGUGCUAAGCAAUUCAGUGAGACCCUGUCUCUA
rnacentral:sRNA from 1 species